CUACGGGAGGCUCCAGCGAGGAAUAUUGCACAAUGGGGGGAACCCUGAUGCAGCAACGCCGCGUGGAGGAUGACGCAUUUCGGUGUGUAAACUCCUUUUAUAUGUCAAGAAAAUGACGGUAGCAUAUGAAUAAGCACCGGCUAACUCCGUGCCAGCAGCCGCGGUAAUACGGAGGGUGCAAGCGUUACUCGGAAUCACUGGGCGUAAAGGGCGCGUAGGCGGGUUGGAAAGUCAGGUGUGAAAUCCUACAGCUUAACUGUAGAACUGCACUUGAAACUUCUAAUCUAGAGUAUGGGAGGGGGAGAUGGAAUUAGUGGUGUAGGGGUAACAUCCGUAGAUAUCACUAGGAAUACCUAAAGCGAAGGCGAUCUCCUGGAACAUUACUGACGCUAAGGCGUGAAAGCGUGGGGAGCAAACAGGAUUAGAUACCCCAGUAGUC
rnacentral:rRNA from 1 species